AGAGUUUGAUCCUGGCUCAGAAUCAACGCUGGCGGCGCGCUUAACACAUGCAAGUCGAGCGAGAAAGGGAGCAAUCCUGAGUAAAGCGGCGUACGGGUGAGUAACACGUGGAUAAUAUGCCUUUUAGUGGGGAAUACCCUUGGGAAACCGAGGACAAUACCGCAUAAGCCCGAGAGGGGAAAGCAGCAAUGCGCUGAAAGAGUAGUCCGUGGCUGAUUAGCUAGUUGGUAGGGUAAAGGCCUACCAAGGCUGUGAUCGGUAGCCGGCCUGAGAGGGCACACGGCCACACUGGCACUGAAACACGGGCCAGACUCCUACGGGAGGCAGCAGUGGGGAAUCUUGCACAAUGGACGAAAGUCUGAUGCAGCGACGCCGCGUGAGCGAUGAAGCCCUUCGGGGUGUAAAGCUCUUUCGACAGGAACGAUAAUGACGGUACCUGGAGAAGAAGCUGCGGCUAACUACGUGCACCGGUAAUAC
rnacentral:rRNA from 1 species